rnacentral:tRNA from 1 species
GGGUCUUUAGCUCAGUUGGUUAGAGCAUCCGGCUCAUAACCGGACGGUCCUGGGUUCGAGUCCCCGAAGACCCACCA